rnacentral:lncRNA from 1 species
GGUUAAAAUAUGAAAGAAGCAUCUAGGACAUUUACUUAGGUCUUAAUUCUAGAGCAAAUAAUUUCAUGUUUCUAUUCUCAAAAAUGGAAUUUAGUAAAAUAAAAAUAAUGAACUAAAACACUGAAGAGGGGAAGGAAGUCUUACUAUUUUGCAAUUUAUUUACUGAGCUACACUGAUAUCCUGAGAAAAGACACUGGUAAAAACUCGCCAAAUUAAAAAACUCAUUUGGAAGAAAUUGAGCCCAGGGACCCAGCAUGCUAGUGGACUGCAUUGGGUGCCUGAAGUUUAAGUGUGUAUAAAAGCAGGAAGGUCACCAAGUGAGGAAGAGCAUAAAGUUCUCACACUGAGUGACUUUACACCUGUAUCCUAACUUCUCUGUGCCUCUGUUUCUUGGCC